UUUUGACAUCAGCACCGGCACUACAUUUCCAACUGUCCCACCUCACCCAUGGAAAGAGGUCCCCUAGAUCCCAUCUAGAUGGCUGAAGCGUCCGCAGCACAACACGGACACCGUGUAUUACAGCCUCAUUCACACCCGGGGGAUGCUGCAUUUUUCCCUCAGGAUAGGUCUCCAAAAUAUCUCACAGACCAUCGCCCCUUCAGCGAGCCGCAGAAUAUACACGUGGAUUUUCUACAAAAUACCCCACGUGUGGCCAGAACCCAUUACCACGACUUGUCUCCCAUCCAUAGGAUAGGGAACAAGGGCACAUUCACACGACCGUCUGUUGUGCGGUCCGCAGAUACAGCUCGUGUGUACUCCGAACAGUCCUACCCUCGUCAGUAAUGCAGACAAUGGGACAUUUUGUUUUUGCGGAACAGCCGUACGGACACGUAGUCAUUACCGUUUUUUUUGUGGCCCCAUUGGUUCUGCGUACGGGCCGCAAAAAGACACGGGAAAAAAAAAAAUGUUUGUGUGUAUGAGCCCCAAGUUUGAUAGGGAGGUGCCUGACCACUCAUGAGAAUGGCUGCCUGUGAGAUCCGGACACAAUCGGUUCAUGUGAAAGAGGCCUAAAAAGGUGUUGUCCCAUCACUAGCCUAUCCCACUAAUGUCUGAUGGGUGCGGGUCCUGCGCCUAUCUUUAGAAUGGCGCUUGCAAAGUGAAGGACAGCGGUCAAUGCACGCGCAGCCGCCCUCCAUUCAUUUCUAUGGGAGUGACGAAAACAGCCAGUGCUGCAUCUCGUGCUUGGCCGUCACAUUAAAGGGGUUGGCGACACAUCGCUAGGUAAUGCCGCCAGUGUUUGAUAGGUGCGGGUCCUGCGCCUAUCUUUAGAAUGGAGCUUGCACUGCGCAUGCAUACCCACUGCUCCAUUCACUUCUAUGGGGCUGACGGAAAUGGCCGAUCCAGCGCUCGGCCAUUAUUGGAAGUCCCAUAUAAAUAAAUGGAGGGAGGCAGGGCAUAUGUGGUCCGCUCACCCUCACUUUGCAGGCUCCAUUCUAGAGAUAGGUUCGGGUCCCACCUCUGGGACCCGAACCCAUCAGACACUGGUGGCAUAUCCUAGUGAUCUCCUUUAAUGUGACCAGCUGUAGCUUAGUCAUGACGAACCACACAGAGCCUAUAGAAGAAAGAUGGCUCUCCUUCACUACGGUGGAUGGACCUGAUGCCCUACGGUUAUAUGUCAGCAUUAUAUUGGUAAUGAAACCUUGUCACACAUCCAAUAUCGGGACUACAUUCCCUACAUGAGAGGGAAAAACUCAGCGGCUGCAGGGAUAUCGCCACCAGCAGAAUACAGGCCACCAUAAAACAAAGCACAAACCAUGACUCCUCUGAUCAGUUACUGGUCAAGCAGAAGAUCAGGGGCCGUACACGCUGUAUACAAGCGUUCUCCAUGGAGUCAGUGUU